UACGAAGGGGGCUAGCGUUGCUCGGAAUCACUGGGCGUAAAGCGCACGUAGGCGGAUUGCUAAGUCAGGGGUGAAAUCCUGGAGCUCAACUCCAGAACUGCCUUUGAUACUGAGGAGCUUGAGUCCGGGAGAGGUGAGUGGAACUGCGAGUGUAGAGGUGAAAUUCGUAGAUAUUCGGAGGAACACCAGUGGCGAAGGCGGCUCACUGGCUCGGUACUGACGCUGAGGUGCGAAAGCGUGGGGAGCAAACAGG
rnacentral:rRNA from 1 species